GAUGAACGCUGACAGAAUGCUUAACACAUGCAAGUCGAUUCGAUUUACCUUCGGGUAUUGAGGAUGGCGGACGGGUGAGUAACGCGUAAGGAACUUGCCUCUUGGUCUGGGACAACUGUUGGAAACGACAGCUAAUACCGGAUAUUAUGAGAUUCUCGCAUGGGAAACUUAUGAAGGCUAUAUGCGCCAAGAGAGAGCCUUGCGUUCCAUUAGCUAGUUGGUGGGGUAACGGCCCACCAAGGCGACGAUAGAUAGCCGGCCUGAGAGGGUGAACGGCCACAGGGGGACUGAGACACGGCCCUUACUCCUACGGGAGGCAGCAGUGGGGAAUAUUGGACAAUGGGCCACAAGCCUGAUCCAGCAAUUCUGUGUGCACGAUGAAGGUCUUCGGAUUGUAAAGUGCUUUCAGUUGGGAAGAAGAAAGUGACGGUACCAACAGAAGAAGCGACGGCUAAAUACGUGCCAGCAGCCGCGGUAA
rnacentral:rRNA from 1 species